rnacentral:rRNA from 1 species
AGUGAACGCUAGCGGCAGGCUUAACACAUGCAAGUCGAGGGGUAUAGUUUUUCGGAACUAGAGACCGGCGCACGGGUGCGUAACGCGUAUGCAACGGUCUACCUUUUACAGGGGGAUAGCCCAGAGAAAUUUGGAUUAAUACCCCAUAGUAUAAUGAGUUGGCAUCAACACAUUAUUAAAGUCACAACACGGGUAAAAGAUGAGCAUGCGUCCCAUUAGCUUGUUGGUAAGGUAACGGCUUACCAAGGCAACGAUGGGUAGGGGUCCUGAGAGGGAGAUCCCGAUCCACACUGGUACUGAGACACGGACCAGACUCCUACGGGAGGCAGCAGUGAGGAAUAUUGGUCAAUGGGCGCAAGCCUGAACCAGCCAUGCCGGUGCGUGCAGGAUGACGGUCCUAUGGAUUGUAAACUGCUUUUGUACGAGAAGAAACAUCCCGACGUGUCGGGACUUGACGGUAUCGUAAGAAUUCUAAGGAUCGGCUAACUCCGUGCCAGCAGCCGCGGUAAUACGGAGGAUCCGAGCGUUAUCCGGAAUCAUUGGGUUUAAAGGGUCCGUAGGCGGCCCUUUUGUAAGUCAGUGGUGAAAGCCCAUCGCUCAACGGUGGAACGGCCAUUGAUACUGCAAGACUUGAAUUACUAGGAAGUAACUAGAAUAUACAGUAGUGUAGCGGUGAAAUGCUUAGAGAUUACAUGGAAUACCAAUUGCGAAGGCAGGUUACUACUAGUGGAUUGACGCUGAUGGACGAAAGCGUAGUGGGUAGCGAACAGGAUUAGAUACCCUGGUAGUCCACGCCGUAAACGAUGGAUACUAGCUGUUGGGGGCAACUUCAGUGGCUAAGCGAAAGUCGUGAUAAGUAUCCCACCUGGGGAGUACGGGCGCAAGCCUGAAACUCAAAGGAAUUGACGGGGGCCCGCACAAGCGGUGGAGCAUGUGGUUUUUCAAUUCGAUGAUACGCGAGGAACCUUACCUGGGCUAGAAUGUGAAGGAAUGAUUUAGAGAUAGAUCAGUCAGCAAUGACCUGAAACAAGGUGCGUCUGCAUGGCUGUCGUCAGCUCGUGCCGUGAGGUGUUGGGUUAAGUCCCGCAACGAGCGCAACCCCUAUGUUUAGUUGCCAGCAUGUAAUGGUGAUGGGGACUCUAGACAGACUGCCUGCGCAAGCAGAGAGGAAGGAGGGGACGACGUCAAGUCAUCAUGGCCCUUACGCCCAGGGCGACACACGUCGUGCUACAAUGGCGCAUACAGCGGGUCGCUACCUAGCAAUAGGAUGCCAACCUCUAAAGUGCGUCUCAGUUCGGAUUGGGGUCUGCAACUCGAACACCCCAUGAAGCUGGAAUCGCUAGUAAUCGCGCAUCAGCCAUGGCGCGGUGAAUACGUUCCCGGACCUUGUACACACCGCCCGUCAAGCCAGGUUGGAAGUCGGGUAGACCUGAAGGCGGUAACCGAGAGGAGCCGUUUAGGGUAGAACCGGUAACUGGGGCU